UUGGUCAGGUCAUAAAAGGACUAGGUGUGU
rnacentral:piRNA from 1 species